CCUACGGGAGGCUGCAGUGGGGAAUAUUGCACAAUGGGGGAAACCCUGAUGCAGCGACGCCGCGUGAGUGAAGAAGUAUUUCGGUAUGUAAAGCUCUAUCAGCAGGGAAGAAAAUGACGGUACCUGAUUAAGAAGCCCCGGCUAACUACGUGCCAGCAGCCGCGGUACUACGUAGGGGCAAGCGUUAUUCGGGUUUACUGGGUGGAAAGGGAGCGUAGACGGGAGCACAAGUCUGGAGUGAAAUGCCGGGGCUUAACCCCGGAACUGCUGUGGAAACUGGGCAGCUAGAGUGCAGGAGAGGUAAGUGGAAUUCCUGGUGUAGCGGUGAAAUGCGUAGAUAUUAGGAGGAACACCAGUGGCGAAGGCGGCUUACUGGACUGUAACUGACGUUGAGGCUCGAAAGCGUGGGGAGCAAACAGGAUUAGAUACCCCGGUAGUC
rnacentral:rRNA from 1 species